GCAUAUCAAUAAGCGGAGGAAAAGAAACCAACAGGGAUUGCCUUAGUAGCGGCGAGUGAACAGGCAAAAGCUCAGAUUUGAAAGCCUUUCGGGGCGUUGUAUUCUGAAGCCUUGAUCUUGGGAAAACGAUGUCUAAGUCUUCUGGAAAGGAGCGCCAUGGAGGGUGAUAGCCCCGUACGACAUUGACCCCACUGUAAGAUCUUGGCAUGGAGUCGAGUUGUUUGGGAAUGCAGCUCAAAAUGGGUGGUAUGCUCCAUCUAAAGCUAAAUAUCUGCGAGAGACCGAUAGCGAACAAGUACUGUGAAGGAAAGAUGAAAAGAACUUUGAAAAGAGAGUGAAAAAGUACGUGAAAUUGUUGAAAUGGAAGGGUAGGCCGCUAACCACGUAGAGUCGUGUCUGGGGGGAAGAUAAAAGCUGAAGAAUGUAGCUCCUCGGAGUAUUAUAGCUUCAGUCAAUAUUCCCAUCCGGGCGCGAGGACCUAAGACUCUGCUAAAUGGUGGUCUACCACCCGUCUUGAAACACGGACC
rnacentral:rRNA from 1 species